rnacentral:rRNA from 1 species
GAUGAACGCUGACAGAAUGCUUAACACAUGCAAGUCAACUUGAAUUUGGGUUUUUAACUUAGGUUUGGGUGGCGGACGGGUGAGUAACGCGUAAAGAACUUGCCUCACAGCUAGGGACAACAUUUGGAAACGAAUGCUAAUACCUAAUAUUAUGAUAAUAGGGCCUCCUAUAAUUAUGAAAGCUAUAAGCGCUGUGAGAGAGCUUUGCGUCCCAUUAGCUAGUUGGAGAGGUAACAGCUCACCAAGGCGAUGAUGGGUAGCCGGCCUGAGAGGGUGAUCGGCCACAAGGGGACUGAGACACGGCCCUUACGCCUACGGGAGGCAGCAGUGGGGAAUAUUGGACAAUGGACCAAGAGUCUGAUCCAGCAAUUCUGUGUGCACGAUGAAGUUUUUCGGAAUGUAAAGUGCUUUCAGUUGGGAAGAAAGAAAUGACGGUACCAACAGAAGAAGUGACGGCUAAAUACGUG